rnacentral:rRNA from 1 species
CCUACGGGUGGCAGCAGUGAGGAAUAUUGGGCAAUGGGCGAGAGCCUGAACCAGCCAAGCAGCGUGAAGGAUGACUGCACUAGGGGUUGUAAACUUCUUUUAUAAGGGAAUAAAACGAGGCACGUGUGCCUGUUUGAAUGUACUUUAAGAAUAAGGAUGGGCUAACUACGUGCCAGCAGCCGCGGUAAUACGGAGGAUUCGAGCGUUAUCCGGAUUUAUUGGGUGUAAAGGGAGCGGAGAUGGGUUGUUAAGUCAGUUGUGAAAGUUUGCGGCUCAACCGUAAAACUGCAAUUGAUACUGGCAGUCUUGAGUACAGUUGAGGUAAGCGGAAUUCGUGGUGUAGCGGUGAAAUGCUUAGAUAUCACGAAGAACCCCGAUUGCGAAGGCAGCUUACUAAACUGUGACUGACAUUGAUGCUCGAAAGUGUGGGUAUCAAACAGGAUUAGAUACCCGAGUAGUC